rnacentral:lncRNA from 1 species
UUUUUUUUUUUUUUUUUUUUACAAGGAGCACAACUUCCUGAAAUUCCAGGCUGUGUCAAGUGCGACACUUCAGAUUUUUUCAGCAGCUUCAUCAUGUCACUACAGGGAUCUGCUCUGAGUUGAAGAUCAUGUUUGAGAUUGAGGCUUCAGAUGAGUAAAGCUGAGGAUUGUGACCCGGAGAGGGAGGGUAAGUAGGUGUCGGGUUAAGAGUUAUUAGGUGGGGGGGGAUUUGAAGGCAGCAGGGUGAGAAAUGGUGUCUAUUUGAGGGCACCCCAAGGUUUUUGACAAGCAUAGCAGAGGCAUUCAUGUGUCUUGUACCACCCCAGCUCACUUACUGCACUCAGAAAUGCCGUGUAACUUUGGCUCUCUCUAACCCAGGUGCUAGUCAUAACAGCUAUAGCCUCAGACUCAGGAUGAAGCUGGAGUCUUGAGGACCUAGGCAUACUUAGGAGAGGUCAAGUAGCUGACUUGCUGGGAUUUGGCCCGCAUAACACUACAGUCAUGCAUUGAUUUCGGUGUUCUUUAUUGUAGCUCACUGAGACAAUAACCAGCAAUCACGAGGCCUUCUGAGGCUGACUCAUUUCAGGUCCAACGUGGAUUCAUGUCGCCGGUCAUCCAAAAGAUAAGCUGGGGGCCACAGCCUGGAGAUGGGAUGAUCAUGUAGUAGAGGACUGUAAAUUCCUGGGACAGAUUUAAAAAUUAGCAGAGGGGAAAGGGAUAUCCUCUAAGGGGCUUUUAGGGCAGCUAAAGGAAGAGGCCCUACUUUUGAUUGCAGAUGUAGGGUGUGCAGUGCAGAGCAGUUCCAGUCUGUGUUGUGUUGUCCGGUAUACUGUGUUUCCUAGCGUGCCGUCGGGGUGCCUCAGAUCGGGUAUCUCUGCCUUUUCUCCUCGAGGGCCUUACCGCAAGCAUCAGCCACGAUCUCUAGGUUCUCGAACGCUCACGCUUCUCGGCAGUUCGUUCUUUUCCCCGCGGGCUCGGCCGUGUUUCCAUGUCGCAAUUCAGAAGCAUCGAGUCAGAUGACUUUUGAGGCCUUGCUUCCAGCAGUAUCACCAUCCAUCCUUUUCAGCCAUGAGUUGUAAUGUCCUGGCACUUAAAAGUUUGCAGGGAUACGGAGAGCAUUCUAAAUGUAGCAUUGUCUCAUGGUCAUUUCAAUCAUUGUGACCAACAGUUCUUCUAACAGGUCACUCUGUUACAGUCUUCUCUUUUUCUCCCUAGAGCCUCUGCCAUUCACUGUUGCCAUAGCAUCGGGCAUCUCUUUUGGCAUCAUCUCAGUCCUUGCCAUUAUUCUUCUUGCCAGGAAGAUUUUUAUUGUCCUUCUGUCACAAUCUUGUUAACAUAAUGUGUUGCGUGUCUUUACCAUCCCCUCUUUUGUCAUGUCCGGUCCUGUGUCACGGGUGUAAGCACAUAUUUGUCCUGGAGCUGUUGUGCCCUGUUGCAUAGCCUAGUGUGAUGGGGCAAGCCCCGGGGACUUGAAUUUUUGUAAUGCAGGGUGGAGUUGGACUCUAGAUGGUAUUCCUGGAUUGACAGAAGGUGUCUGGAUCUGUUAAGUUAUCCUGCAGCCAUUUGACUUUUGUCCUAACUUUCUUUCAGAUGCAGGCAGUUUAAAUCCAUGGCAGAAUGCCCCAUCCCUGGAGAAGGGGGUUCCCUGGUCAGGUCAGUCACCAUUUGUCUCUGCAGUGGAAGUGUAAAUGGUGACUCUGUGUUACAGCACUGUUUUCUGUCUUUACUUUUAGGAAUUAAAUCCAGAUGUUGGCAGUCAAGGCAAUCCACUCGGAGUAUGCCAAGCCCCCAUCACCAACCAGCUGGUGGACCAGGUUUCCUGUGCUUGUGAGCAGUCUGGAAAUAUUUCAGGACUCUGUGAUGGAGCUUUGAAAUCUAUUAUUUCAAGGUGGCAUCUGGGCAUACCCUGUGAUGAUGGCCUCAGCCUCUGAGCAAGGCCGGAGCGUGUGGCCCAAGCACCUGGGCAUUCUUAGGAGGAUGCUAAGCAAGGGACCACAGCCCGGUGACCACAGGAAAUUCCCAGCGGGCGAGGUGACCUUCCUUCAUACCUGACGUGGAUUCUCAUCCCCAGAUGUCCAAGAGAUAAGUCGAGGGCUAUGAACCAUAGAGAGGAUGAAAGCGAAGUGCUGGGAGGGCUUUUUGAAUCAGCUUUGGUGGCAGGUAUGUGCAAGAAGUGUCCCCUUAGGCCACCUAAAGGGAAAGAGUCUCUUUUGAUCACAGUGCUGAGGUGCUCAGGGCAGAGCAGUUCUGGUGUGUGUUGUGUCACUUGUCUAUUGUGCAUUCUGUGUGUUUGGGUAUAUCAUGUCAUAUGGCUUUUACCUUGCCCCUUUGAGGGCCUGUCAGAAACCCUCCUGUCAUUCGUGGUAUCUGAUAUCUGCGUUCCUUGGACGGGCACCAGUGCAAUAGGACUCUUGAUUCUGGAGGUCAGACAGGCAUUUGAAUUGCAUCUCUCUUUAGAAGCAUCCAGUCAGAUGUCUUUUAAGGUCUUGUUCUGAGCUGUGUUCACAGCUGCACACCACAAUGGUCCGUUAUAUCAGGUCAGGACUUGUAAGAAUGUGAAGCUAGCAAGAGCCUUUUUUACAUGAGAUUCUUGGGCACUGAUCUUCGUGGUUCUCCGAAUAAAUCAUUCUGUUAGCAUCUUGUUCCUGCAGGGUUCUCUGAGCCUCAUGGGCUCUGAGCCGUCAGUCUCACCUAGGUCAUCUCGUUCUGCAAUCUCUCAGUCCUUGCAGGCAUUCUUCUGGCUGAGAGCUCUCUCUCUCUGUUGUGUCCCCUUGUUUGUCAUGUCCUGUCCUGUGUCUGCACAUAUCUGUCCUGGAGCUCCUCUGCCCUGCUGCAUAGCCUGCAAUAGAACAAGUCCUUGCAGGGUAAUGCAGGGUAUAGUUGGGCUCUAGAUUAUAUUAGUAGGUUGACAUAACAUGUUUGGUUCUGUUAAGUUGUCCUGCAGCUGUUUGACAUUAGUCCUAACUUUCUUUCAGAUUCAGAUGGUCUCAAUUCAUAGCAGACUGCUCCAUCCCCGUUCAGCAGGUUUCCUUGAGAACGUCAGUCGCUGUUUGUUUUUGCACGUGAAGCAAACACAAGUGUUACAGCACUGUUCUUUGUCCUUAUUUUUAUGAAGUUAUAUGGGAUAGCAGCAGUCAUGCUGAAGUGGGCGCGGUGAGCAUUGAGCAGCAGACAAAAGCGGUUGUUUUUGCUCAGUUUGCAAUUUCUGGUGAAACUCUAAGCAUCCACUAUUGGUUUUUUUUUGAAUUUUAGGCAGUCCUCUUGCAAUAUGUCUCUGGUCCCAGAUGUCUGAGGCCAGGUGCUGUCCACUGCCCUGGCUGUGAGAAGGAACUGAGGUGAGCGGGUAUCUUCCGAGCAGCCUGUGGAGUCAAAUCAAGAUUUCAGAUGAGCUGGGGCAGUGGUGUGUCAGAGUUCCGGGGAUUCCUCUUUUGGAGGGUGCUAAUUGCAUUUUCUGCUUUGUCUUAGGUACCGUGAGGCAUCGCGUAGUUGAAGUUUGGAAACAGCAGCACCAAAGUGGAGGUAGAGAAUGUCUCGUCGUCCAUGUCCAACUGACAUUGGAUUCCAUCUGGUCAUCUUGCAAAAGCUAAGUGCUGGCGCCAAUAGGUGGGAGAAGGGGAAAAACUAUUACUAUCACAGGAGGCAAUUUGAUGUUAGCUUAGAGGAGAGGCCCGUAGUGGGACGGGUCCCUCGGAAGCAAAGGGAGAGGGUUUCUCCUCAGCCCCACUAGAAUCUUUGCCGGGCAGGGCAGUUCCAAUCCAUCUCCGCGUUCUCGUGAGGUUCACAUCGGCGGCCUGCUUAGACUCUUGACGUCGUCGUGGAUCUUUUCACCCGAGGAGCCCGCCUUCACGUCUGGAGCUGUAGGUCCCCGGGUCCCUACACAUUUUCCUGGAGUCUACCAUUUGACAUUGAGGAGCUGUAGUCAGAUGAUGUGUUGAAGGAUAUUCUUCAGCGUAGUGUUACAAGUAAGGGUGGCAGUCAGUGUGUAAGCAGAAGAGUGUGUGAGAGAGUGUGAUUGUCUGUGUCUGUGAGAGCUUGUGUGUGCUUGUCUGCAGGUCUGAGCGUAUGUUGACCGGUUCUAAUGUUGUGUGUAUGACUUUUGUCUUUCAGGUUUUUUAACUAAUUUUUAAAUUUAGAAUAAAAAAUCCCCAGCUGUCAUUUUGGUUUUUUUUUUUCUCCCCCAGAUGGGGUUUUUUUCCCUUGGUCCUGGCCAGUCUGCGAGGCGACGUUCAUCGCCAAAGUUUGGAUACGGACUGGCCCAGGACAGGGGUUUUUGUCAGGCAGGAGGAUUUUUUGGAGGCUCCCGAGAGCCAUGUUCCCGAGGAACAAUGAUUCCUGGGGUGUAACGGAGCAGUUGAGAUGAGAGCAAUGGUGAGUUUGUGUGUAAUGUGAAGGAGGUGCUUAUGGUGGGUGAGUGUUGUUUUGUGUGUGUAAUCUUUGUUCUGGGUUUCCUCUAACAAUAAAACAAAAUGUAAUGAAAAUAGAAAAAAGAUCACAUUGUGUUAAUGUGUUUGGUUUCUAUUGCCCUGUGUUGUUCUGUAUUUGCAUUUGCUGCUGCAUUUCUAUGUACUGUAUAUAUGCAUGUAUAUGGAUUGUAUCUGUGCUUGCAUUUGUAUCCAUUGUUUCCAUGUGUUUCGUUGAAAUGUAAAUAAAAAAAUUAAUUCAAUAAAUUUGAAUAAACCCUAGUAAUGAUGCCCCUGCUCCCUCACUUUCUGGCUUUGGCUCCUGUCUUUCUUUGGUGUGGUUUAGUAAUUUUUUUUCAUUGUAUUUCUUCCAUUGCUUCUCAUCUUACUUUUCUAUCUCUGACUUCAUUUCUGUCUGUCCCUAACUCUGUGUUUCUAUUUCUCACUGUUUCUAACUCUGUCUCUCUUCUUCUCUAUAUCCUUAUAUUUCUUUUUCCUUCUUCCCUCCCUCCCUCUUCCUUCUCUCCCUCCCUCCUUCUUCCUUUCCAUUUCCAGCUACUUAUUUUUCUCCCUAUAGUUGAUACUUUACUCUUUAUUUCUUUUUCUCUCUAACUCUUUGUUUUCCUCUUUUUUACUCUCACUCUUUCUUUUUCUUUUUCACUGUAACCCUUCUCAUUUUUCAUUCUCUUUCUUUUUUCACUGUUUGCCACUGUUUUCCUAGUUCUUUUUUUCCCAUCUCUCUUUUCCUCUCCAACUUCAACUUUUUUUAACCCUUUGCUUCUCUCUAUUUCUACCUUUGUUUCUAACUCGGCUUUCCUUUCUAGCUUUUAAGAAAGCAGCAGUAAAAACUUUCAGGCUCCCUGGGAGGGAAAAAAAAACAAACCAACCAAACCUUUAAAAAAUUAUUUAAAGAAAAUUACUUACUCCGCAGGAGCCUGAAAUUUUCUACUGCUGCACCAGACAUACAGUUUUUCUUCUUUUUCCUAAUAGAUAUAGGGCCCCUAAUUAGCGAUAUAGCUGGCAGGUAGCAAUAGCAAUAUGCAGCAACCAUGGCACCAGUACUCCCAUCAACCCCACCAGGCAAAUAAUGAUACAACCAAGAGUUAACCACAUUGAAACAUAAAUUUUAAGGGAUAUAGAGAUGUUAGAGGAGCUAAGAUUUUAGUUAGAGACAAGCCUUACUAGAGCUAAUUAAAAUAAAUGAGUAGGCCUUGAUAAAGUUAGGAGUUAGUAGUUAACUGAUUGCUUGUCAGCACAAUGUUUAGUUAGCUGGGUUUAUAAUGAAGAAUAUAGAAACUGACAAAUAGCUUUUAGGAACGUAAGACAAUUGUGGGCCUCCUCUGUUCUGAAAUCAAAUGAAGACAAGGAAUGGGAGUUCUAACAAGAGUUCAUUUGUCAUAUUUGCAUUGAAAUGGUAGAAAGGCCAGAACGAGGAAGACUUCAUUUACUUCCACAUUUUGGGAGUCAUCCCCACAAAAGGGACCACUGACCCAUUUCAGGAAAAAAACUUCAUGCUUAAUAGCUUUUGAAAUGAUUAAUAUAUGAAGCAAGGAAUGUGAUGUACCAAAAUGAAUAUGUAUUUGUAUUUUCGGUAUUCAGUACUUGUAUGGACAAAAGGGCUCUUUAAUCACUUGGAAAGUGCGGUGUGUACUUGGGAACUAUCCCACAUGCUGCUGGGUGUCGAAUAAACAUACACUUUCUAACUUCAAA